rnacentral:rRNA from 1 species
CCUACGGGAGGCAGCAGUGGGGAAUAUUGGGCAAUGGAGGCAACUCUUACCCAGCAAUGCCGCGUGAAUGAAGAAGGUCUUCGGAUUGUAAAGUUCUUUAAUUGGGGACGAAAAAAAUGACGGUUCCCAAUGAAUAAGCCCCGGCUACCUACGUGCCAGCAGCCGCGGUAAUACGUAGGGGGCAAGCGUUUUUCGGAAUGACUGGGCGUAAAGGGUGUGUAGGCGGUGUAGCAAGUUAGAAGUGAAAUACCUAGGGCUUAACUCAGGUGCUGCUUCUAAAACUGCUAUACUGGAGUGCAGUAGAGGAAAGUGGAACUCCUAGUGUAGCGGUGGAAUGCGUAGAUAUGAGGAGGAACACCAGUGGCGAAGGCGACUUUCUGGACUGUAACUGACGCUGAGGCACGAAAGUGUGGGUAGCAAACAGGAUUAGAUACCCCAGUAGUC